GAUGAACGCUGGCGGCGUGCCUAAUACAUGCAAGUCGAGCGAACAGACGAGGAGCUUGCUCCUCUGACGUUAGCGGCGGACGGGUGAGUAACACGUGGAUAACCUACCUAUAAGACUGGGAUAACUUCGGGAAACCGGAGCUAAUACCGGAUAAUAUAUUGAACCGCAUGGUUCAAUAGUGAAAGACGGUUUUGCUGUCACUUAUAGAUGGAUCCGCGCCGCAUUAGCUAGUUGGUAAGGUAACGGCUUACCAAGGCAACGAUGCGUAGCCGACCUGAGAGGGUGAUCGGCCACACGGGAACUGAGACACGGUCCAGACUCCUACGGGAGGCAGCAGUAGGGAAUCUUCCGCAAUGGGCGAAAGCUUUACGGAGCAACGCCGCGUGAGUGAUGAAGGUCUUCGGAUCGUAAAACUCUGUUAUUAGGGAAGAACAAAUGUGUAAGUAACUAUGCACGUCUUGACGGUACCUAAUCAGAAAGCCACGGCUAACUACGUG
rnacentral:rRNA from 1 species